UUCCUCAGUGGCAUAAUCCCCAAUCUCUUGUAGUUUAGAGACAUCAAGAAUGCAAGAGAGCUUCUCUUGAGUGAGUACAAUCUUUAAAUUUCUCAAUCAAUCCAUGUAAUUUGGAUCAAUCAACUUGUUGGAAUCUAAAAUUCCUCGCAAUGAUAAUGAAUAUGCCAUUUAUAGAAUUUAAUCUACAAUAAAGAACAUUACAUAAACAAACAACUCAUG
rnacentral:lncRNA from 1 species